rnacentral:rRNA from 1 species
AUUGAACGCUGGCGGCAUGCCUUACACAUGCAAGUCGAACGGCAGCACGGGUGCUUGCACCUGGUGGCGAGUGGCGAACGGGUGAGUAAUACAUCGGAACAUGUCCUGUAGUGGGGGAUAGCCCGGCGAAAGCCGGAUUAAUACCGCAUACGAUCUACGGAUGAAAGCGGGGGACCUUCGGGCCUCGCGCUAUAGGGUUGGCCGAUGCCUGAUUAGCUAGUUGGUGGGGUAAAGGCCUACCAAGGCGACGAUCAGUAGCUGGUCUGAGAGGACGACCAGCCACACUGGGACUGAGACACGGCCCAGACUCCUACGGGAGGCAGCAGUGGGGAAUUUUGGACAAUGGGCGAAAGCCUGAUCCAGCAAUGCCGCGUGUGUGAAGAAGGCCUUCGGGUUGUAAAGCACUUUUGUCCGGAAAGAAAUCCUUGGCUCUAAUACAGUCGGGGGAUGACGGUACCGGAAGAAUAAGCACCGGCUAACUACGUG